rnacentral:tRNA from 1 species
GGAAGGGUGCGUGAGCGGUUAAACGAACAGGUUGCUAACCUGUGGACGUGUAAAAGCGUCCCGUGGGUUCGAAUCCCACCCCUUCCG